AACCUUAUGGACCUGCGGGCGUAUACCUGCGGAGGGAUCAUCAUCGAAUUCAUAUCCCCCUCCUCUCCCGGAGGGGGACCCAUGAUAAACCCUUCUGUGCACCGUAACCGUUCACUUUGGCAGGCUUUGGUGGUGAGCGUGAGCUCGCCUCCAACCUCGCGUUCCCUCCUCCCUAAGGGGUGUUACGCGUGGCGGCCUGCCGGAGUCCCAUUAAAACUCGUUUUCGAACACGUCUGAAAA
rnacentral:misc_RNA from 1 species